rnacentral:lncRNA from 1 species
UUUUCGUCACCUCAGAAAACGCCGCACUCACUGUCUGGCUACUUCCCUUCCCUGUUCACCAAGCCCCUCACGCACGCCAGCAUGCUUUCUGUCUCCAUGGAUUUACCUGUCCUGGACAUUUCUCAUAAAUGGAGCCACGUCAUAAACGACCCUUUGUGACUGGCUCCCUUCACUUAGCGCACAGUUUUCAAGGCUCAUCCGUGUCCUGGCGCAGCAGGGCGUCAUUGCUGUUUAUGACUGAAUGAUACUCAGCAGCACAUCUCUUCCACAUUUUGUAUUUACUCAUCUGUUGAUGGACACUUGAGCUGUUGCCAUCUGUGAGCUAAAGUAAGUGGUGCUGCUGUGAACGCAGUGUUUGGUGUGUGUCUGGAUGGGUGUGUGUUUGGUUGAGGGUUUAUAAUUAUUUGGGGCGUAUACCUAGGAGUGGAAUUUCCAGAUCACAGGGUAAUUCUAUGCUUAAUAUAUCGAGCCCACCAUAUUACCUUCCAUAGUGGGUGAACCACUUUACAUUCCCACCAGUUAUGGAUAAUAGAUAGAAUGUUUCCACGUCCUCACCAAUACAUGUUAUGUUUCUUUAAAAAUAUUAUUAUGACCGUAGCCAACGUUGUGGGUAUGAACUGAUAUCUUAUUGUGGUUUUUACUUGCAUUUCCCUAAUGGCUAGUGAUGCAGAACGUCAUUUCAGUGCUUCUUGGCCACUGUAUACUUUCUUUGAAGAAAUACCUACUCAGGUCCUUUUCCAAUUUGUAGACUGAUUAUCUCUUUUUGGUGUUGAGUUGCAAAAAUUCUUUAUAUAUUCUAGAUAGUAGACUUGUAUCAGGUAUAUGACUUACAAAUAUUUUCUCCCAUAUUGUAGGUUGUUUUUUCACAUUCUGGUGCACAAAAGUUUUUUGGUUUGUUAUUGUUUUUCUGGGUUUUUUGAGAUGGGGUCUCACUAUGGUCCUCACUAUGGUCUUGGACUACUGGACUCAAGUGAUCCUCCUUUCUGAGCUUCCCAAAUAGCUGGAACUACAGGAAUGCAUCACUGUGCCCAGCAAAAGUUUUUAAUUUUGGUAAGUCCAAUAUCUUUUUUCUUUUGUUGCUCAAAUCUGUUGGUGUCAUAUCAAAGAAUCCAUUGCCAAAUCCAGGUUCAUGAUGUUUUAAACCAGUGUUUUUUUCUAAAAGAUUUGCAUGGUAGGGGUCCAACUUCACUCUGUUUGCCUGUGAAUAUCCACUUGUCCCAGCACUGUUUGUUGAGGGGAUUCUUCUUUCCCCCAUUGAAAGGUCUUGGCAUCUUUGUUGAAAAUCAAUUAGUACAGGUGUAUGCAUUUAUUUCUGGUUUAUCUUAGUUCAACUCUAUUCCUUUGGUCUAUAUAUCUUUUAUGAGCACCACAAUAUCUUGAUUACUGUUAGUUUGUCAUUGGCUUCAAAAUUGCAAAGUGUGAAUCCUCCAACUUCAUUUUUCUGUUUCAAUAUUAUUUUGGUGGAUUAAUAUUCAACUCGUGUGUGUAAGUUUGCCUGUAUGUUACUGUGUUACUGGGGAUUGAACCAGGGCUUCAUGCAUGCUGGGCAAACACUCUACCACUGAGCUACACCCCUCGCCCUUUUUAUUGUUUAUUUUGAGACAGGGUCUUACUAAGUUGUCCAGGCUGGCCUCAAACUUGUGAUCCUCCUGUGUCAGCUUCCUGCAUGCACCACUGUGCCCAACUCAUUCAUUUUUUUUUUUAAUUCAAAAAAGUGUUUCUGUAAUUGUUGAUAUUCACCCAAGCCAAGGCAGAAGGUAUCUGCAAAAGGAUUCUUACAGGAAGAACCUAGAGAUCCGGAUUUGCUGGAUUUGCCACCAACUCUGUAGGUGUCCUUUGCAACCCACAUCCUCUCUCUGGGCCUCACUUUACUCUUCUGCCAAAUAGAGAAGAGGGAGCUCAAAUUUACGUUUAUGCUUGGAGUGGGACCUGAAACAUUUUAGUGAGCUCCCCUGUAAAAAUGCUUAGAAUGCCCAGCCUGAGGGUCCAGGCCACAGAGACGUGGCUGCCAGAGUUCCCCUCCCACAAGCCCCACACCUGGAGCUGCCUGGCUUCAGUGAAUCCCCCCGGUCAUCAGUAAAGGUGUUGUUCUAGCAAGAACUCAAUCGGCAGAGGGACGAGAAGUCUGGGCCUGGAGAAAUUCGGACAUUGGGUCAGCAGUAGUGUGUCCUCUGUCUGUCAUUGAUUUCUGCUUGACAUUUUCCAGCACUUGACAAAUGGAUUAAGAGCAGAGUCUCAUAUAUUGUGGGUACCCUGGGUGAUGCAAAGACUAAUUAGCUAUGCCCCCUGCCUUCUGGUAAUCAGUUUCACAUUUGAAUAAUAAUCAGGGGGAAUUUUAAUCAUCUUGAAAGUUAUUAUUUUUUUCAUUGUUUUGGGUAUUACUUUCAAUUUUUUUUUUUUUAAAUCACUACUGCACAUAUAAAUAGCCUUUCAGAAAAAGCAGAGCCCUGAACACAGAAGAUCAGCUACUUGCCUAGCUGGAUGCCACCUACCAUUCCAAACAACUUAGUGCAGUCUGUGUUGGUUGAACUGCAGUCAAGAUGCGUUGGUACCGUCUUAGCUUUCUUUACCUGACGGGCUUUCAUAGAACACACCGUCCUACGGGGAUGGCACCCACAUUCUAGACCAUGAGCUAGAACGUCUCCACCUCAAGUCUCCACCUGACUCUUGCCCCCAUUUCUACGCUGUCCUCCAGCUGAUGGGCUAAUGCUGGAGUGUGGGCAGGUCCUCUGCCACUGCUGCCAGAGAUGGUGGUAGUGAGAACAAGCGGGGGGUAUGGUCAGGUGAUGGAUGGCACUUGGCAGGGGACAGAGACACAAGAAGUAUCAAGAAUGACUCCCAGAUUUCUGGCCUGCAACACGGCUUAUUUGGUCCUAGUCAAUGAGCUCAGAAGCACAAAGUGGACCAGGUUUGGGUUGAAGAACAGGGCACCACGUUGUUCCACGGUCCCUAUAGAGUUGGGUACCAUGGGAACCCCAGAGAAGCUCAUGUGCUCAGUCUUAGAAAAGUCAUGCCCGAGGUGACUUUUCAGCUUCCAGAUGACGUCAGUAAGGAGACAGAGGGAGCCCAAAGCAGGGCAGGCCUGACCCAAGAAGCCCAGAGAGGCCGCUGGUGCUGGGGAGGGGGCCUCUGCUGCCAGGGUUUCUUCCAGAGACCCCGGAGAGGAGGGAAGGCCGGCCGAAGUGCUCCCCAGGAAGGCGGCUGAGCUGGGAGGGCUGGGGAAGGGCAGGGCGGCAGGAAUAAUUACCUGAGCUGGCAGCCAGCCCCAGCUGAGUGUGGCCCCAGGGAGCCGAGCGCAGAAAGAGCCGCGUCUUUAGUGCCGCAGGUGUUGGAGUAGAAAAUUUUCCAUGAAGAGGGGGCUGUUCCACAAGAUUAAAAUAGCCACUUGGGCCCUCCUGGCAAGCGCAGCGUCUCUCCACACCUCCAGCGUGUUCUUCAAGUGGAGGCUGUUCCUGUUCCGAGGAGGGAACCGGCAAAAAGAAUUCCUUCUCUUCUCACAUUUGCUAAUAAGGAAGGAGAGGGACAAAGGGCCCCAGGGGCAGCCGGGGAGGCAGGGCGUGGUGUUCUGCUGAAGACCUGGAGGGAGGCUGAGGAGGGGAACACCUGGGGUGCGGAGCCCAGGGUGCAGCGGGGAGCGCUGGAAAUGGAGUCGGGGCCUGGAGCCCUCCGGCUGAGUCCCCGUGCUGUCCCGUCCAGGCCCAGAGUUUUAGGGGUGAACUGGACAGAGCAAUGUGCUGGGAGGGAAGCUGGAGACUCCUCUGUAGUAAGAAGACAAAUUUCUCCCCCUGGGGAAUUGGAGGCCUUGUCCCUUCCAGGAAGAAGCCAGGACACAUGUCCCACUGCCUCUUACACUCCCCUCUUCCUGUCUGAGGGGCUGGGCUGGCUGGCAGCUUGGCCUCCCCUCUGUGCCAGGGUGGCUGGAGGACAGAGUAAGCCCUGCCUGCCACGCAGGUGGCACAUGAACUUCAGGACACGUUCAUGAGGAGAUGGUGACGUCUCUGGCCCUCAUUCAGCCAAGGUCUCCGGAGUUCUCAAACGUCCUCGUCCCCACCCCUUUCUUAGUUGCACUGGGUUUUCUUGGCUUCUUCAGCGGCACCAGGUAUUGCAUACCCCUCCUCCCUCUUUGCCACGGCAGGUCCCCUCAGCCGCUGGGAGUGAGUGUGGACAGCCACCCACUCCCCAGAGGCAGAAUGUGCAGGGACCCCUUGGUCUCUUCCGGCUGUUGCUAUUGGGACAUUACUAUUGCGGGGAAGAAGCUAACCGUGGCCUGUCUCUGCUUACCUAACUUUUUACAAAAUGCCCUCUGCCCAUGUUGGCAAGCGGCUCACCAUCAUGAAAGAUGCUGGGGACCCACCCCUGGUGAAAGCCACUCUCCCAGAUAGUCCCCUGAUAGGGGCAUCUGAGAGUCCUCCCCACUGUCUCAGCCCUCACUGACCCCCUCUCUGAACAACACUUCCCACAUAGGUCUUCUCCAAGGUGCGCAUUCCUGCAUCAGACUCCCCUGGGAAGCCUUUUGGGAAAGCAGAUUCCUGAGCCCAUUUUCCAUUCUGAAAAGUAUCUGCGCUUGCAGUGUCUCCCAGGGGAAUCUGGGGGAAUCUCUCCAGCUGUGUUAACUUCUUUAUACCCCACAGUUUGACACACAGUCGUCUCCACCACACAUUGCCUCCUGUCCCAGUGGGCAGAACAAUGGUGUUCAUGAUUCCUCACAUGUGGCAGGGCUCAGUCAGUGACUGUGAGGACGGCUACUAGCUGGUGUGUGUGUGUGUGUGUGUGUGUGUGUGUGUGUGUGUGAGAGAGAGAGAGAGAGAGAGAGAGAGAGAGGGGAUAGAUAAGAUAGGAUAAGAUAAUACAAGAAAGUAGGGUUAGUAGAACCCCAUUACAGUAGCUUUGCCUGCAGGUCUGGUGCUACCUCAUGGAACUGAAGUGUGGGAUGUAGAGAAAGUUCUUAGCAGACAGGAUCCUGGAUCUACAAAGCUGUUAAGAGCAAAGGCAGGAGGAGGACUCACGUCCAAGGGUAACAGGGUUCAGAUACACUACUUACUGACCAUAUGUGUUUGGGCAAAUUGCUUGAUCUUCAGGCCUGGCUUAACAGCACUUCCUCCCAGGAAGCAGUGGAGGUUGACUUGGAGGCUACAAGAGGCCUAAGUAUCUGUAAGCCUACUGUGUGCCCCAGGCUCGGCUUCCCUCCGUACCCUCCUCCUCCUCUCUCGCAGACUGGUUCCCGCUCCUGCCUGUAUAGAUUCAACCUAUAGCUACUUUACAUCUCCUCAGAGGUAGACACCCAAAACGGAGGUGCCACUCCCUUGGCCCGAGUCUCCAGAGACUCUGAGGGCCUUUCAGGGUCCUCCCCACCCAAAUCAUCCCUGGUUGAGAAUGAGGGGUGUAGUGUGCGAACAGGAUCCAGCUCCAUCACCUCAGCCCCAUCAGGAAGAGAGUUCUCAGAGAGGAGAGUGGAGGGUGGCCAGGGCUGGGUACACACCCCACAGGCCUCUGCUGUGACCCUCCUAAGCCUCCUCCUGGGUCCUCACCCAGGCUGCUGGUGUCUCCAGAGCCUUCUCUCAUCUUGCUGGGGGGCUUGAGUUCUUCAGCCUCAGGUCUGCCUGCCUCCCCCUGAAUCUGCCCCACUUGUACCCUCCGCUGGGCCUUGAUGCCUAAGCCCUGUGUCUAAAGGGCUUACAGUUAGUUGGCGGAAUCAAACACACACACACGCACACACACACACAAGUUGAAGUGUCCGGUGCUCCCCCACCAGCUGCAGCUCCCAGGGAGGAGGAGUCCGGAGGAGGAGGGCCCCACGUGGGCUGUGAGGCUCGGGAAAGCUUCCUGGAGGAGGAGGAACUAGGUCAGGGGCUCGAGGCUGUGCGAGGCUGUGCGGGUUGGGGGGACAUCCUGGCAGGCAUGGGAGGAAUGGGGAAGGCCUGCUGAGAAGCUGCCUGGCAGGGACACGGUCAGGAAGGAGUCAGAGCACAACAGGUGCUGCCAUCACAGGGGGCCUCCUCCUGGGGCUGGGGCUCCAGCAAGCCCUGGCCUCCCUGCUCAGGCGAGCUGCUGAAGGGCCUCCCCAGGACCUGACUGCUCAUUGAUCGGCCUGUGAAAGGCCACUUGGUGGGCUGGUUGCCGAGAGACGGCCCGAGGCCGGGGGCCAGGAUUAGUGAGUGGCCUGUUUGCUCUCCUUGCUGAGAGGAAGGAGGACUUUGGUCUCAGCUUAUCAAACUGCCCCAGGUUUGAAAGCCCAGGAAUGCAACCUUGGGCAAAUGGGCAGGUUCACAGGACACCCAUUAAUCAAACAGCUCCCUUCCCUCCAGCCUAACAACUUCUCUCUCUCUCUCUCUCUCUCUCUCUCUCUCUCUCUCUCUCUCUCUCUCUCUCUCUCUCUUAUGUGGUCUUUUGGAGCUCCCAGAAGAGAGGGGACAUAUAUUUCCUCAAGCCCAGCUGACCACCACCCCAGGCCCGGGAGGAACUACGCAGGAGAGCAGGCCAGCUCAGAUGACUUUCCCUAAUGGGCCCAUGAGGUCCUGUAGAGGCUUCCCUAAGGUGGACAGAGCCGUCAGGCCACCCCACCUGCCCUGUGCCCCACACAACUAGCAACACAUCAUCCCCUCAAGAUGGAAAGAAAAAUGUCCUCACCAAUAACUUCUAGAGAAAGCUUUCUUUAAAAUAUACAAUCCUUUCCAACUCCGUGGACUGCACAAGGGCAGUCCUUGUCACUGCUAGCACACACAGUCACGUGUCACAUGCCAAACGCACAGUUACGUGUCAGCCCAGAGGCCAAAGAUCCAGACUCCUCACCAGUGCUUGGCUCUAAGGGGAAAAGGAUGAGUCUUAGCAUGUCUCCCUGCCAACGAGAACAAGUUCAGAGGAAUAAGUUAAUAAUAAUAAUAAACAUAAACUGGGUCUUAAUAGUAGGUGUGACACCAACUACAAGUUCCACCUGGGGGCACAUAGUUUUCUGGUAUCGGGGUGGAGAAGGUUCCUGGCCUUCAGGAGAUCAUGUGGCUCUCAUUUGAGCCAACUGGCCAUGGCUGCUGCCUGGGUAGUGUCUACCUGCUGGCAGGAAGCUAGACGGGCAGGGGAAGAGAGAGUACCAAAUGCUCUGCUCUGCUCAGACUUCACCCAGAGUGUUGCCUUCCGUCCUGGGCACCACGCCUGAACUUUCCACCCGAUGCCAGCCUAGUCACAGAGGGUGAGCCCACCAACUGGGAAGGGCUUUCAAGCCAGGUCGGUGAGAUGUCUGGUCUGAGCGGACUUAGGAGUCACACCCUCUGGUCCAGAGAAGACAGAGGAAGUCCUCAGCCCUACCUACUGCCCUGCACCCCUGUGCCCUCUGCCUCAAUUUCGGCAUCCACCGCCUUCCCUGGGCAACCACAGAGGUGUCUCCAGAACUUUCUGGCCAAGCCCCUGACAGUUCCUGAAGUCCCUGCUCCUUCUCGUUGGCAGGUAGACAUGCUAACACUCAUAGGAUUUUGCACUUUCCCCUGGAAACUCUUCAGAUCUCUGCCACCCCUGCCCACCUCCUGCCAUAGCCCCAGAAUGAGACAGUGAGACCCGCAGGCCCUGCACAUCUUGUAGCAGUCUGCAACCCUCACAUCCCACAUUACCCACAGGGCAGGGUACCACACAGCACCCAGCCUCCCCACUUCCUGUCCCCUUCAUCUGGAUCUCCUUCAGCCUCCAGCUGCCAUCUGAAUGACCCCCUGCCCAUGACUCACUGUCCCCUCCCUGGGCCCAGCACCCUGCCUGAGGCCUGCUGCUGUUUUCCCCAUUAGCCUCCUUCUCUAGGCUAUCUGCUACUCACUGGGGUCCCCCCACAUCUGUCCCCAGCUCCUGGCACUAGCCUGGCACCCAUUGGUAUUUGUUGAAUGUACAGAUGCCAGCUGUUUUCAAAGGUGUGAAAGACUGUCAUGUGGAAUGAGGGUUAGUCCUGCCCUAAUCCUCUGAGUGACUCAGAGCUGGCAUUGGAAGCCAGAGACAGGAGUCAGGUGAGGUCCCUGGAGAGCAGGCCACUCCUGGAGGUGGCAAGUUCCCUGCACCUGAAUGGAAUAGGAAGACCCAUGGAAGAGGGCGGCAGCAGAGGGGUUCUCUUGGUGAUCUGACCUCCGUGGGCCGUCCAGCUCUAGGAGGCUAUGGGCUGGCUUCACUUUUGGACCCCCUCCCAUGAGCACAGCAGUCAUACUGCAGUCAGGGCUGCAGGGCUGGGCCUUGGAGUGCCAAGAGGCAGGACGUAUCCCAGCAGGGCUGACCCUAGCAAAGCAGGCCCGCUCUGUGCCUAUGGAAGACAAGGUGGGUGGAGUCUGACUGUCAGCCUGCGGUCCUCAGAGAGAGCUGGGCCUUCUCUAUCUGUACCCAGCAGGGUUGGCACACUCCUCACACCCUCCUGCUUGAGGGCUGAGCAUUGUGUUUCCCACCAAAGGACACUGGCCCAGAAGGCCAGGAGCCCAGCACUGAGAUGGGGACUUGGCAUCAGAGCUAACCCAGGUGCAGCGGGGAGGAGAGGUGACCUCUGCAGCCAGUGUGGCUCCUCGGCCUCAGCAAGGCCGUCCUCCCCACCAGCAAGGUCACAGUUAUCUGCCCCAGAGCGAGUGCUCUUGUAGGGCCUGGAUGCCCUCCAAACAUGUGGAGGGAGUUUCAACCUAAUCCAGGACUUUUAAAAGGUCUCCCACGCCUGACAUUUUCCAAGUGUUGUAAGCUCCAGGCAAGGACAAGAAAGAAAAGCACUUGGAAGUACUUCUACGGCUGCAGCUGCCAGUGUCACCUCAGAGUGUGUCAACGUGCAUGAAUCAGUGCGUGUGUCAGUGUAAGAAUGUGUCGGUGUGUACGUGUAUGCAUGCAUGUGUCCAUGUGUGUCUCCUGUGUGUGUGCAUCCCUGUGUAUGUCACUUACAUGUCAGUGUGAUGUCUGCGUGUGCCUCUGUGUGUCUGUGCAUGUGUGUGCAUGUGUGUGCAUAUUGGGAAGGGUGUGGAGAAGUCAUUUGCUUUGAUUGUGAGACCGAAAGAAGCACUUGGUUCAGAAUCUCUCUCCCAGGCUGGAAGGACAGCGGAAGAUGGUCCCGAACCUCGCUCUCUAACUGGUUGUUGGAUGUGGCCACCUGCAGUGAGGCCCCUUUGAAGUCUCUAUUCGCAAACCUUCUUCAUAUUCCACAGAAACUUUGCCCGCUUCCCUGGUUUUGCCAAAACUGUGGUCAUUUUCCUGCUUUGAGAGUUUAAUGUUUAUAGUCACAGGAAAGGGUGGGGAUUUUCAGUCAGCAGGUCCUGAAUCCCAGUUCCCCGGGGCCAGGUGUGAGACUCAGGUGAGCUCAUCUCAGUAAGCCUGUCUCCCGAGGCGGUGAUGUGCAGCGCUACCACGUGGGGCUGGACAAACACUGGGAGCUUUCUUGCAUGUUUUCACAGGUUUCCCCAUUUUGCAAAUCUGCUUUUCCAAUGUAUGAUUCAAAAACAAAACAAAAUAAAGCACAAAAAUUAUAUUCCCAGUCUCCUUUCCUGCAGGAUACAGGCACAUGUCUGACAUUGCCCCUGAGUGAUGACCCCAUAAGAGGUGGGAGCAGGCUGAGGGGGCAGGCUGAGGGGACAACCGUGGGCUGGCUGAGCAGCAGCAGAGGCAGGUGGGCUCAGACACAGCAGAGUUCCAACCCCCAGUCUCGUGGGACUCCUGACUGUUCCUACAAUGUCAUCCUGCACCCUGCCCGGUGGUGGGCUUGGCACUCUCUCACAUCCUUAGAUAAAUUCUUUCCUGCUUUAACUACCAGCUAAUGAAGAUUCUGCCCUCUGUAACUGAGAGCCCCCUAGUCCCAGAGAACCCACAUAGGUCGGCAUUUGGAGACAGGGACAGUUGUGAUUACAAAGGGUACAUGAAAUUAGAUCCACGAUUGUCUUGGAUGGUCCCUGAAUUUCCCGGGCUUCUCCUUUCCUCGUGUUGGCAAUCUUGCCUGAUGGAUGGAGCCCUGGCUCUCAGGCAGCUGAUGCAGGAUGGAGACCUGCCUGUCUCAUCUUCUCUCAGUGGGAAGAGAGUGGAGAAGUGGUGUUUUAGGGAGGCCAGCCCAAGGGCCCCCUUGUCUCUCUUUAAGAUCUCCCUUCAUAGCUAGCAAGUCCCCUACCCUGGGCCAGAGAUUGGGCUAGGCAGUUUAGGGGCUGCAAAAUAAAAGUUAGAACCCCAAUAUCUAGCCCUAAGGAGGUUGGUCUGACGGAGAGGCACCUCGACUGGUGAGAGAGAAGAAUGACCGAAAAAGUGGGCGUGAGGAGGAGGUGGCUUUGGCUGGGGUGGCCAGAGAGGCCUUCCCAAAGGGAUCCCAGCAGGGCCUGACCCUGGGUAGGCGAGAUUUGGGGGAAUGAAGAAUGCCGGGAAGGGAGCCCCAGGAAAACAAUGAGAACAAGUAAAGUGCCAGGUGGGAUCGGUGCCCCCCACUUUAUGGGGCAAAGAGAGAGAGCCCUCUGGAAUUGUCGGCUUCAGCCAGUUCCUGGGGCCCCGAGGCCUGGACGAGGAGCUUGGGUUUUAGUCCAGGAUGGAUAUAUGACUGGGUUCGACAGAGAGGACCUUGACCUCACCCCUCUGCCGCUCUCCUGACUUCCAGGGUCAGAAGCCUGGUGCCCGUGGGGAGGAGUAGCCCACUGCUUCAUGCCCUUCCUUCGUCUGGGCCACCAGAACUACAUUGGCAAAGGACACCCAAAACUGCCUGUUCCCCAAUACAAGGUUUUUAUCAAGUUUUUCAGGCUUUGUCUUGCUGGAGCUCCGGGGUUUAAUGCUAGAAUCUCUCCAUUCUUAAAACUCUCUCCGUGGCUUCUGCCCACUUCCCAGGAGGAGCUCAGACGAGCGGGCUCAUCCUCUGCCGAGUGUGACCUUAAGGGCCUCAGUUAGUGCAGCAAGGAGACUUAACACGGGACUCCGGACAUCGUAAGGUGGACAUUCCCAAGAAUCAAGUCAGCUUCCUGAUCGCCCACCUCCGACGUCUCCUCCCAGACUCUUCCCUCUCUGUGUUAAUGGCCACUAGCAUCCUCUCGUGAUCCAGGCCAGACACCUGGCAGGGAUCCUGUCCUCCCUGCCUCAGCCCCACACCCUGAGAGUCAUGGUCCCACAGCUCCACCUUGUCCCUCUCUGCCACUGCCCCCUCACGUUGCCCCGGCCCUCGCCAAGGCCCAGCACCCCCAGCUCUGCCAUGACCUCCUACCUGGGCGCUCAACCUCCCGCCACCCCUCCCUGCCUGGGCCGACUCUGCUAGGGAGAGCUCCCUAACGCACAGACCUGAUGAGCCGGGCCCUUCUGGACCUCCCUCAGUGUGUCCCCACCACUCACCAAGGCAGGUGAGAGGAACAGUCCGCUCUUCCCCAUCUUCCACCUCACACACCUGCCGCACCAUCGAGACCUGCGUGUGGGGCCCUAAGAGCGUCCUGUUGUUUCUGCCCAGGGCCCUUAUCUGGGCCGUGGCCUCUGCCUGGAAUGUGCUUCCCACCCUCAUUGGCCUACAGGACACCCAUCCACCCUUCAAGAACACCACAGGGGAUAUCGCCUGACCCCAGACUGGACUAGGUGCGUCUGCUCUGUGGCCCUACGUACCCGAUACCCCAUAUAAAAACACCACUGUGGUCUGUACUAUCUGAUUACAGCCACGCCCUCCCACUAGCUGAGCUGAUUUGGGACCUGGGACUGUGUGUUAUACAACUUUUGGGGACCCUGUCCCCGAGUUUCAUGCCUGGCACAAGUGGGUACUGAAUACAAUUUUGUCAGUGGCAGCCAAACUAAACGGCAGGAUGCUUUGGAAGGAGGUUGGCCAGUGAGCAAGGGGACACACCAAGGUAUAGAUGACCAAGUUCAACCAAGAGAAUUCUCCUUCCCCUGAGGAAGUCUUCUGAAACCAGGAGGUAUCCCUGAUUCAGCAGGGACAGGCAGACAGGACCCCCACUCACACUCCCUGGGGAGCUUCUCGCCAAGGACCUCGUGCUCCAAGGAGGUGUCAAACCAGAGGUCAGAAUGGCCAGGUCAGUGGAGAAAGGCAGGAGGUGUGGGGGCCCUUGGGCGGCAGGACUUCCCACCUAUUAGAUAAACAGGGGACACAGCCACAAGCUGUGGGAGAGGAAACAGGCAGAUCCAGAGAGGGACACCAUGGGGCUACAGGCUCCUGUCUCCUCAGCAAGCUGGUGCUGAGGGAGCCUGAGGGCUGCAACACCCAGGUGCAGUGCGUGGUCCACAUCAGACUCUGGAGUCAGGACCUCUGGAGAGAUGUGAAUGCAAAGUGAUGUUAGGGUUUACCAAGAAGUUACUAGUCAUAAUUUGAUACUAUAAUGUUAUUUUAACUAUGUAGGAAAAUAAUCUUAUUUUUUAGAGACACAUUCAGAAAUAUUUAGGGAUAACAUAUUAUGGGACCUGUACCUCAGUUUAAAAUAUCUCAGUGUAAAAUAUAUAAUGAGUUUAAGGGCCAAUGCUACUGUGAGAAACUGUAAGUUAGACACACUGUGAAUUUACAGCAAUUAUCCUAGGAAAAUUUCAACGGUUGAGCUUGUGCUGAUGAUUGAACAGAUUCCCGUUGUGAUGUCUGUGUUCUGUGUUCAGGUCGAAUCGUCGAUAGCUUGUCAUAUGAAGAGCUGUCAGGUGUGAGUGAAGUCUGCAUGUCCAGUCCUGAUGGUUUCCAUGAUGAGGGAGACCUUGGCUGUCUGGGACCUCGUGUGCAGUUAAGGAGCGUCUUGAGAGUUAGCCAAGGAAGGGGUCCUCAUGCCUGAGAAGUGACGCAGCACUGAAUGAAGCAGGGCUUGGUGUGGCAAGGACCAAAGGUGCAGCGUGCCCGCUUCCUUGAAGGGCAACUCAGGAACAGAACCAGAAUCUGGGCUGGUUAGAAAUGCAAGAGUCCAAACCAGCCGCUAGAGCAGCUCAUGGGGAUGCGAAACGGGCUCCACACAGAAAUCUGGCUGCUGCCUGUCUGCUGUGGCCUCCCCUCCCCAGGGCCUACGACACUGUGCAGUUAGGAUCACAGUUGUAAAAACAACCCUGCGACCGUGCUGGUGUGCUGGAGCCAGGGUGUGCAAGUGUGCAAGCGUGUGUGCCAGGAUAUCUGGCCCACAGCCGAGCAGGGCUGGCGAAAACUGAGAGCUGACCGUCCAAGGCCCCUACCGUGAGGCAGAGAGGACCGGUGAGAGGCAGACCCACGCGGGAAUUGAUCCUUAGGGAAAAUGGCAUUAUAUAUCUCUCUGUGUGUGGAGGUACCACCACGUUCCUCUUUACUGUGUAUAAAAAAAGUCGUGUCUUUGUUCAAAUAGCAUUUUUAAGGUUUUUAUUGGUGCAUUACGAUUAUACAAAAUAGUGGGGUUCGUCGUUAUAUAUUCCUACAUGCACACAAUGAUAACACUAUAGUUUGCUCCACUUCUUUCCCCACUAACUCUUGUCCCUCCCUCUGGUCCCCUUCCUCUACUCUACUGGAUUCCCUUCUAUUUUCAUGAGAUCCCACAUACACAGUUUUCUCCCCCUUUUCUUCACUCUACCUUCCACAUAAGAGAGAAAACAUAUGGUCCUUGACUAUCUGUGUUUGGCUUGUUUCAUUUAACAUAAUGCUCUCAAGUUCCAUCUGUUUUCCUGUAAAUGUUAGUUUCAUUCUUCUUUAUGGCUGAAUGAAGCUCCAUUGUGUAUAUAGACCACAUUUUCUUUAUCUGUUCAUCCACUGAUGGACCCGUAGGCUGGUUCCCUAAUUUGGCUACUGUGAAUUUUGCUGUUAUAAGUAGUGGUGUGCAUGUAGUGCUUUAGUAUGUUGACUUAAGUUCUGUGGGAUAAAUAUGGAGGAGUUGUACAGACUGUCCCAUUUCAAGUCUUUUGAGGAAUCUCCAUAAGGAUUUCCAUAGUGGUUGUACUAAUUUACAAUCCCACCAAUAAAAGUGUUCCUUUCCCCCACAUCUUUUCCCACGUUUAUUAUUAUUUGUAUUCUUGCCAACUGCCAUUCUAACUGGGGUGAGAUAAAAUCUCAGUGAGUUUUGAUUUCCAUCUUCCUAAUUGCUACAGAUGUUGAUCAGCUUUUAAUAGAUUUGUUGGCCAUUUGCAUUUCUUCUUUUGAGAAGUGUCUGUUAGUUCAUUUGCCAUUUAUUGGUGGGGUUCUUUGUAGGGCUUUUUUGGGGUUAAGUUUUUGAGUUCUUUAUAUAUUCUGGGUAUUACUCCUUUGUCAGAGAACAGAUGGCAAAGGUUUUCUCCCAUUCUGUAGAUUCCACUUUCUCUUCUUGCUCUUGUUUCUUUUGCUGUUCAGAAGCUUUUUAACUUGAUGCCAUUCCACUUAUUAAUUCUUGGCAUUAUUUCCCAAGCUGUAGGAGCCCCAUUGAAGAAGACUGUACCUGUACCUAUAAGAUGAGUGUUGACCCUACAUUUUUUUCUAGCAGUUGCAAAAUUUUGGGUCUAAUUCCUAGGUCUUUGACCAUUUUGAAUUGGCUUUGGUGCAGGGUAAGACAUAGGACUCUUGUUAAAUUCUUCUACAUAUGAAGAACCAGCUGUCUCAGUGCCAUUUGGUGAAAAUGCUGUCUUUUCUCCAGUGUAUCCUUUUGGUACGUCUGUCAAGGAGGAAAUGAUGGUAUCUGUGAGGCUUUGUUUCUGUAUCUUCUAUUCUCUAACAUUGGUCUGUUUUUUUGUUUGUUUGUUUGUUUGUUUAUGCCAGUACCAUACAGGGGUUUUGUUUUGUUUUGUUUUUACUAUAGCUCUGUAGUAUCAUUGGAAGUCAGGAAUUGUGAUGAUUCUAGCAUUGUUUGUGUGGUUGGUUGGUUGGCUUUUUUGCCUUAAAAUUUCUUUGGCUAUUCUGGGAAUUUUACUCUUCCAAAUGAAUUUUAGGACUAUUUUUCCUAGUUCUAUGAAGAAUGUCAUCAUUAUUUUAAUGGGGAUUAAAUUGAAUCUAUAGACUGCUUUGGUAGUAUGGCCAUUUUAACAACAUUACUUCUGCCUGUCCAUGAACAUGGGAAGUCUUUCCAGCUUUUAGUGACUUCUUCCCUGUCUUUCUUCAAUGUUCAAUUUUUGCUGUAGAGGUCUUUCUCUUCCUCAAUUAGAUUUAUUUCUAGCUCUUUUUUGUUUAUUUAUUUUGAAUGCUAUUGUGAAUGGAAUUGUUUUCCUGAUUUCUUUUUUUGGCAAAUUUAUUAUUGGUGUGUAGGAAAGUUAUAAAUUUUUGUAUGUUGAUUUUGUAACCUGAUACUUUGCUGAAUUUGCUUAUUAGCUCUUCCAGUCUUCUGGUGGAACUUUUUGGAUCUUGCAAGUAUAAGAUCAUAUCAGUUGCAAAAGGCAAUAAUUUGAUUUUUUUCUUUUCUAUUUGUAUCCCUUUUAUUUCUUCCUCUUGCCUAAUUCCUCUGUCUAGAACUUCAAAUACUCUAUUGAAUAAGAGUGGUAAGAAUAGACAUCAUAUCUUGUUACUGACUCUAGAGAAAAUGCUUUCUGUUUCUCCCCAUUCACUAUGGUAUUGGUUUUGAACGUGUUGUACAUUGUCUACAUUAUGUUGAGGUAGCUUCCUUCUAUUUCUAGCUUCUUUAGUGUUUUUAUCAUGGAUGGAUGCUUUUGCCAAAGGCUUUCUCUGCAUCUAUUGAGAUGACCAUGUGAUUUUUUUUUUGCCUUAAUUCUAUUUAGGUGGCAAAUUAAAUUUAUUGAUUUGCGUAUAUUGAACUAUAAAUUUUUUAUUUCAGAAACUAUAUACCAGGGUUUAAAUUAUCAAACAUUGUGAAUAUUAUAAAGGUUUUAUUUUCAAAGAAUGUCAUUUAUCAAACUAUUAAUGCUGCAAAUGUCUCCAGAGCUAACAAAUACCACACAACUGGAGCUGAUUGUAUAGAAUAGACCAAACAAGCUUAUUUCCAGUGUAAACCAAAGCUUAAAAAAAAUGGGAGGGUGGGGCUGAGGGUGUAGCCCAGUGGUAGAACACUUGGCUAGUAUGUACAGGGCCCUGGGUUAGGUCCCCAGCACCACAAAAGAAAUUAAUUUCAUAUAUUUCGAAAAGCCAGCAAUGCUUGGGUCCAAAGGAAACCAGGGAAUGCAUGAAGAAAUAUUCCUCCUCAUCAUGAAAAAUCACUAAUGAUUAUUCAAGCCCUUAAUUAGAGUAUUUAGUUAACAUUCAAAAGAGCCCAAGAAAAGACAUAUUUGAAACCCAAUUUCCCGGUUCCCGGGAGGACAUAAUUAUAUUGCACAAAAUGGCUGUCAGGCUUCCCACUACUGGAAGGAAGGGGCAGUUCUGAGAAGCAAUAUGAGUGGGCUGGCACCUAUGUGUACCCCGCAAAGUCUGUCCCUUCUUCAUAGCAUCCUUUCAGAUAUCCCAAGUUCAGGGUCAGAUCUCCUGUGAAUCUCCCAAAAUUCUCCAUUCAUUUGUCACCCAACCUGGCUGGCUGUCCCCUCCCUAUCCUGAUAAUUAUCCAACAGAAAUAUCACUCAGGGAAGGGUGGCAAUGGAGGCUUUAUGUGGUCACUUAGCAAAUUUAGAGUUUUUCAACAUGAGGACUAUUUUCCUGUAGCCCCAGCUGGGGACAGGCGCUAGUCUCUAGAUGUCCGUAUCACCAGGGAACACCUCUCAAGUGACUGACAUGAGUCCUGGUAGAAAAGCAACAGUGAUGGGACAACAUGGACCGUUCAAAUGUCCACAGUGGAAGGGCUCCUGGAGAACAAUUUGUCCCAACCUUCUCUUACCAUCGGGAGGAAACAUGAGGGCCAGACACAGGAGAAGGUCAGCCAUGUAUGGAACGUAACUGAGAUGGAGCUAGGAGCUCUUCUGAUUCCCAGUCCUCUGGCUCCAAUCACAUCAGAGCCUUGACUUUUCACAAAACAAUCUGAAUCUAACAGUCAAUCUGGAUCCCCCGAGAUCCUUGUCCCUGCUGCACCUUCCUGGGACGAACAGCUUUUGUACGCCUGCUUCCUGUCUGUUAAAUGAAGAUAAUGAUGAUUUCCCAGGGUUGUGGCAAUGGUCUUAAAGGGAACAUUAGAUGUAUUCUCACACUGCACGUCAUCAAUGAGGAGUGAGUGGGUAUCAUCAACUCAUCAUCAUCAUCAUCGUCAUCUCUGUCAUUAAGAGACUCAAGGUCACAGAGCAACAGCUUCAUCAAUGUAUUAAACAACUGAGCACCUCCCAGACAAAUCUUGAGGGUUAAAGGCCUGUCUGUCUGCUCUCCUUCAGGGAUUCCAGUCAUGUAUAUCUGAGGCCACACAGUGUCUCACAAUGUCUCACGACUCACCCUUGUUCUGUUUGGUCUUGGGGAUUUUUUUUCUUUUUUGCAUCUCAUUUUGGAUGGCUUCUAUUGCUCUUUCUUCAAGUUCACUAAUAUUUUCUUCUGCAACAUCUAAACUGCUAUUACUCUUGUGCAGUCUAGUUUUUAUCUCAGAUAUUUCCUGUUGACUUAUUUUUCUGUCUUCUUGAACGUAUAGAAAAUACCUACAACAGUUCGAGUGUCCUUGUCUACCCAUUCUGCCAUCUGUUUGAUUUCUGGAUCUGUUCUUGUGGAUUGACAGUUUUCUUCUCUGUGGGCUCCGCCUCCCUGCUUCUCCACAUGGUCGGCGCAGCUAUUACAUGGCUGAAAGACACUGUGAAUUUUACCCUCUUGGGUGCUGGAUAUUUUUAUAUGUUUUUCAAAUGUUCUUGAGUUUUUAUUCUGGACAUUGGUUAAGUCAUUUGAAAGCAGUUUAUUUUUUCCAAGGCUUACAUGGGGUUCCUUAGUUGAGAUCAGAGCAAGCUCAAGUCCUGGCUAAUUAGACCUAUUGCUACUACGAAGACCAUAACUUUCUUAUACUCUAGGCGAUGUCCCAUGUCUUACAGGAUUUCCCCUCUGGCUGGUGGGAACAGAUAUUCCUGAUAUAUAUUCCUGAUCUGUGUGAGCUCUGAGGAUUAUUAUGCCCAGUGCUUCAAGGGAUUCUAGCAGUUUCUUUGUGCAAAUGCGGCUCUCGUUUUCUGUAGACACUGAGGAAGGAGAGCCUCUGCAGGUCUCCAGCCCUCUCUGCAGCUGUCCCUCAGACUCUGCCUUGGAAGCCUGAGAUUCCCAGGCCACCUCCCCCUCACAAGGGGUCCACCAGCCUCCACCUGGGCUGAGCCCCACUGCUAAAGCUGGGAGAUCCCCCACCACCCCAGCAAUAAGCAGGAGAGCACCCAUCUUUUCUCCUGGACACCUAUGCUGGCUGCCUGCUGCUCUGGUCUGAAAAGCACUGUACAUAUACAUUGUGUCCUGGUUUUCAGUUGUUUAAGGUGGGGGUGAACGUGGUCCGUGUUGCUCCAACAUGGCUUAAACUUGAAGUCAGUCCUGCUUAGACUUUUAGAGCUGAGCUGUUCUUCCUCACUAGGUUAGGAUCUCAGAGGACCAGGGAUCCAGUAGUUACUGGAUGCUGGGGGCAUCUUUUGAGCCCUGAUUAGGGCUAGUCCACCAGACUUGGCCAUGUGAGAAAGGAACCAAGUCUCUUGGCACAGGCCAGUGGGGGUCAGGGGUUUCUAACAUGUAUCUUAAGUGAUCCACCUUAAUAAUUUAAAAUGCACAGGAACAACCUCAUGUGCUUGCAGAACUGGGGCAAAGGUCACAGAAAACAAUCUGUUGUAAAAAGCUGUCCCCACUCCUUCAGGCCUGUAUACUGUAGGUACUGAGGAAAUGCGUCUCGGUCCUGUCCUCAGAUAACUGCUUCUUGAUCCAGCCUUCAGAGCUGAUCCAUUCUCUCUCCCGCCAUCCCUCAAGUUCCCCUUUCUUUCCAGCAGGUAGCUGGUCUGGUCCUGGGGCCCUCUGAGCAGAACCAGGCUUUACAGUUAAUAUCCCGCAGCCUCUGAUUGCAGCUUUCAGAGGUGUAACAUUUGAUAAGCUCCAUUUAGCUUGGCGGGGCUGCAUUGUUUAAAUUAUUCAAAGACAGAUUGCUCGCUCCACCCCCCCCUCCAGGGUUUCUGCUCUGCUGAGCCUGCCGGCAGCACGUUACCAGGAAAUAAGGCGGGGAGUCAGCAGGCAGUUUCUCACUGCCCUGAAAUCAGUUCCAGCCGUUGUUCUACACCCAUCACACCCCAUUAUUCCUUGCUAAUUGCAAGCCUGGUAUGCAAGUUAACUCUUUGAGAACAAUGCUGGCUUUGAUUGCUGGGGAGACACAGUGAGCCUCCCACCUCCUCCUGCCUCCCCUCCCCCUCUGUCCCCAGCUGACUGACUGUCUGGGAUUCAGCAAGUCAAGGGGUGGGAAGAAAUCUGAAAAUCUGAGGUAGAGCUGGUUCCCCAGGCAUUCCGAUUGGGCAGGUGGAUACAGCCAGUUGGGUCCCAGCCUAAGGCUGGAGCAGCCUCAUCUCUAACUGGUGUUGGACAACCCAGUCUUGCUAUUGUGUCCAGCCAUCCGCAUGGCACCUAGAGGGUGUGCAGGCUGGGCCCUGGCUCAGAACAAGCCAUCACCUCCUGGUCCAGGGAGCCCUCGCCACUGCCCUUGGACGUGGCCUCACUCCUUCUGCACCUGAGCUGUUUGCUCCCUACACACGGAAUGAUUGUCACGGUCAUCUGGCAGUGGUCACGAAGAACUAUUCUUCCAGGGAUCCUUUUCAUCAUCGACUUAGAACAAAUAAGAAUAAUUCUAAGAGUUGGUUGGCCAUCAAAGCCUAAAAUAUGUGCUCUCUGGUCUUUUACAGGAAAAAGGCUGCUGGCCCCUCCCCUAGAAUCUGAAUUAAGAGACGGAGGCAACUCGGUGUCUGGACCUUGAAGACAAUGUGUGAGCCUGUCUUGGCCUGGAUCCUAGACCAGAAGAAGACAUGGCUGGAACUGCACUGAAGGGGACCUGCAGAUGGGACAGUAGAGUCACCGUGUCACUUCCUUGAUUCUCAUCAUUGCACUGUGGUUCUGCAAGGGAGACAUAUGGGGAAUUGUACUAUUUUUGCAACUUUUUUGAAAGCCUGAAAUUGUUUUGAAAAAAACAGAUACAUUUGGGGGAGGAAAAAAAAAAAAACAUGGGGCAGGCGUAGUGGCUCAUGCCUGUAAUCCCAGCAACUCAGAAGGCUGAGGCAGGAGGAUGACAAAUUUGAGGCCAGCCUUGGCUACUUAGUGAGACCCUUUCUCAAAAUAAAAGGGGCUGUGGAUGUAGCUCAGUGGAAGAAUGCCCCUGGGGAGGGCCUGGGGAGGGUGGCUUUUAGGUGGGGUGGAAUUGGGAAAGGAGCACUUAGACAGAUGGUCACUUCCCCAGAGGGCCUGAGGGUGAGCUGGGGAUGCAUGCAGCAGUCCAAAGAAUGCAGGCUUUGGCAAGGACGUGGAGUGAACAAGGACGGGGUGGCUGUGCGGUAGAAGGUUAGUCUCCAGGGGCUGCCUACCAUAAAGCCUAAAGCCUCAGUGAACUCACUAACCUCAUGAAAUAAGUGCCAAUAGAUUUCCUGUGUAGGAAGCGAAGGGUCCAAAGUCAGGCUAACUGGCAGGAGGGCAAACAGUGGACCCACCUGGAUGCAGGAGCAGAUAAGGACCCUAAGGAAGUAAGGCUGGCCCUUUUCAGGGUGGCCCAGGCUGAGCCACAAGACCAGAGCCAAGUUCACCUAAAUUGCCACAGGCCAGAGGCCCCAAGAGUGAGUUGCCCUCUCAGGGGUGACCCCUGUCUACUCCCUUGCCCCCAGCCUGAUGACCAACAGGGUCUCUGAUGCUGGCCCCUCCAAGCCCAGCAGUGCCAUGGUCACACUGCCACUCCUGUGCUUGGGCUUUUACCAACCUCAGGGCUGCUAACCAGAGCUGGGAGGGCCACUGGCUGGGCAGUAAGCAGCAUGCUCCAUGAGUAGACUGGGCACAUUAGUAACUAAGAAGAGCAGAAAGCUCCUGCCGCAGCAGAAGUACCUUUAAGCAAGAGAAGUUGCGAGGAGGCCCGAGGAUCCUUCUCAGGAAAAUGGUGCAGUCAGAGAGGACAGCCAUGAGCACGCUCCAGAGGGCCUGACUGGCCAGGGGCCAUCCGUGUGGGAUGGCAGGAAGGCCUCUGCCCAGUUCCCAUGGUCACUCCCAGCCCAGGACUCAGUGCAGCAGGGACACCAGGCAGACCAGGCGGCCAGCGGGAACAGAGUCCCUUGCUGCUUGACCAAACCUGCCUGUGACUACCCAUCUGUCUAGAGAUUCCACAGGACCUUCUCUCCUCGUCUUCACCCAGGUCAAACUUGUUUUGCUGACUGGCUUCUAGCCUCCCCAGCCCUCCCCAUUUUCUCUCACACAGGCAUGACCAUGACGCACAUUAUCAGCACAUCUCAAACACGCAGAGGAAAUUCCUUACUUUAAUUCCAUCCGGGUCUCUGCUAUUUAGAGUGAUCUCCCCUGGAGUGACUCGCCCAGUUCUGCUCUACUCUAAGGUUCCUCUAAGAUAACCAAUCCCCUGCCCCACGGUCUCCCAGAAGGAGGGGACAGGAUAUGCAGCAAGGCCUUUUAAUUUUCCAUAAUUUUAAUAUGUUUCUUUUUAUUAAAAUUAAAUCUUUUUAUAGCUUUAUUUUAUUCAUUUAUUUUAUGUGGUGCUGAGGUUUGAACCCAGGGCCUCACAGAUGCUAGGCAAGUGCUCUACCACUGAACCACAACCCAGCCCAAUAUGUGUGUUUAAAAUCUAAAAUAUAGGGGCUGGGAUGUGGCUCAAGCGGUAGCGCGCUCACCUGGCAUGCGUGGGGCCCGGGUUCAAUCCUCAGCACCACAUGCAAACACAGAUGUUGUGUCCGCCAAAAACUGAAAAAUAAAUAUUAAAAAAUUCUCUCUCUCAAAAAAAAAAAUUAAAAUCUAAAAUGUCUAAUUCCUGGAAUAUAACCUUUACUUUGACUGUAAGGUGGUCAAACACCCACUGUAGAGGGAAAAAAACCAUCCUACAGUUGAUUUCUGAUUUAAAUUUCCUACCAGCUGAGGUGGUAAUCACUUCUGAACUAUUUAGUGGCCAUGUCUUUAAAGGUCGUAUUGGACAGUUGCUGGAGGUCAUAUGUAAGGAAAAGCAUCCUCCUCCUCCUCCUGCCCAAAACAUAGAUGCAUAAACCUCAGAAUCAGGAUUCAUGAGAAGCCAGAAAUCAUGGUGGGACACUAACAGGUUGAGUCAACGUCCAUCUCAGUAAGUUGCACGAGGCCUCAGUGUGCAGAUGUCAAAGACAUACAGUUUGCAGACUGGCUUUACUUACGUCCACAAAAUAAGUGUAUGCAGGGUGAGUCUGUUCAUGACUCGGGGAGCUGCUUCAGAAACAGCAUGACUGACAUGGAAAGGGGAAUGAUGGGAAGAGGAACUGAGAAAUGGGAGAAAGGAAGAUCAGAGAGGAGUCCGCCCUGGGUUCUGUGAGCUGGUCCACUUCCAGGACUGGCAUCUGGGUCCUGGCAGGACUAUUGACUCCUUAAUGAGAGAGCCCCUCAAGGAUCAAUUUCCAGACAAAACUGUCCCAGAUGCCCCCAUGUCACCCAGAUGGGUGGAAGCCAUCAACCCACAGGGAGAAUCUUGCUCUCUGAUGAGAGAAACGCUUGGAAAACUAUCCACCCCAAGGGUGUGAGAGACACCAGAGGGAGGCAGUGUGAAGUGUGGUGUGGGUCCUGCCCAGGAUUGGUUCCCAGAGAGGACACUGGCAUGGGGCUCAGCUGUCCCCUCGCUGAGUGCCCAGCGGCUCUCUAAGAGCAGCCAAGGACGUGGAGAGCCAGGGCAGCUCGGGAGCCUGGGAGCGGGUGGACCCUGCCUGGUGCCUUGAGUUAGGAAACCAGGUCAGAGAGCUUCCAAGCUACUAGGUGAAGAGCUGGCAUUAGAAGGCGUCUGCAGGCACCACGCGGGUGUCCUGACACCUGUCCCUCGGCGCCCAUCGAGAAGGCCUUUCUGGCUCCUGGCCUCAGCGGCUCUGGCAGCCCUCAUUUCCUCUGCUGGGUUUGGGGCUUAAAGCUGCCCAAGUGAGGAGCUCAGAUCUGCCUUUGCGUGAAGCAGCUCUUUAAAUGCAUUUUUCAGCACGACUCCCUGCAAGACAUAGACGUUCAACUGCACGUGUGCGCGCGCGCGCACACACACACACACACACACACACACACACACACACACGGUCCGGGCUUCACAAACAGCGCUCGCUCUGACGGCUCUCCAGGCACUCUGCCGUUCUCUCCCACUGUCUCCUCUUUCCCUUUCUCCAUCAUGGUUAAAAACAAAAACGCUGCUUGGGAUUGGAUGAGCACUGGCUGAAAGGAGCGUCACCACUCUGGGGGUCCAAGGGGCCCUCUGAGAAGGUGGCAGGUCCCUGCACAUGGUCAUCAUCCCACCUUUCUGAGGAGGCUGGAAUUGUGUCCCAAGGAGGUCCCCACGGUUCCCCUGGGUCAUACCACUGCACCAAAACGUCAUGCUCAGACACCCGCGCGGUGUCACAGUCAGGGUGACUCUCAUGGGCUUACACUGAAUGCCUCGCUAGGAAACCCCAAGAGCUACAUGGCCAAAGAGUGAGUGCUAUUCCUACUUCGUUAACUGCUAGGAAAAGUAAAGCUUGAACUAUGUAGGUGACUUGUCCAAGGCCAACUGCAGCUGGCAGGGUCAGAGCAAGGAGCCCAGGGUCUCAUGAUGCUCUAUGUACCGUGCCCCGCCCUUCCACAAGGCUGAUGGAAGCCCUUGCCGUCUCCACCUUUGGAAGUCUCAUCUGGUCCCCAAGCUCUGGACCAACAAGGUCCUGAAUACGGGAAAUUUCUUUUUUUAAAAAAUAUUUUUAUUUUUUAGUUGGAGUUGGACACAAUACUUUUAGUUUAUUUAUUUUUAUGUGGUGCUGAGGAUCGAACCCAGGGCCUCACACUUCCUAGGCGAGUGUUCUACCCCAGCCCCUACGAGAAGUUUCUAACAGUCAUCUUACAUCAAAUCAUCCAGCUGGAUGCCCCUGUGACAUGAGCUUCGACCAGAGUUGGCUUCCACGAAGUUCAUGAGCCAGUGUUCAAGAUUUAGAGAAAACAGUGGACUGCUCAAGACAUACUAGGAACAUCCACGGUGCCCGCCACUCUGCCGGGGGAUUCUCCUAGGCUGCUGUGGCCAGGACUGGUUGCAAAGCCCUCCAACACACUUGACCGAAGACAAGUUUAAUGUCUUGGAGUUUAAUGUUUUUAUUAGUUGUGUUUGUGGCUUCUUCAAAAUACUGUGUAGCUGCUGGCACCACCCCAGCCCCACUGCAAGAACCUCCUCCCCAGCCUCCACUCACCAGCAAGCUGCACCCCGCACCCAGGGAUUGCCCCCCACCCCGCCCUCAUCCAUCAAACAGGCCGCUGUCUGCAGACGUUCCGGGAUUUGUUGUAUUUGGGAUUAAGGGGGGGCGGGUAAAAUUAAUAAGGUUUCUAUAAAUAUAACUUCUCUGGCUCUUGUUAAAACUCUGGGUCACAGGAAAUCUCUGGUUUCAAACGGCUCUAUGCAGAGUGGCCCUGUUUACUUGAAACGUCUCGCCAAGAUCUAGCUUUGCCCCAUUAAUACUAAAUAAAUAAUUUCCACAGAAGCUAUUUUUUGGUCCUCUUUGCCAAAAAAUUUGAGAAAAGGGGCCAGCACAGAAGCCUCACAUGCGUGUUUCAUAUAAAAACCACAGGAUCAGUGGGGACCUUAGUUGUGUAAACUGUUUCAGGACAGAUGAGACUCAGCUGGUGACCCAAGUCAAGCAGAGCACCCAUGGGGCGCUGGUCCCAGCUCCCACCCGAGAGCAGAUCCAUGAGCUUCACACCCGUCCACUCUUCCUAUGUAAGCCACUCUCUCAGAGGGUCCAAGGAAUGUAGAUAGGCACCUGAGGAGUAAAUGGCUUGUGAUCUAGUAGGGUUGCUAAAUUGGCAUAUAAAAUACAAGAUGCCCAAAAGGAACUGAAUAGACACUUCACAGAAGAAGAAAUACAACUGAUCAACUGAUAUAUGAAAAAGUGUUCAACAUUUCUAGCAAUUAGAGAAAUGCAAAUCAAAACUACACUGAGAUUCCAUCUUCAAUUACAAUGUCAAUCAUCAGGAAUACAAGCAACAAUAAAUGUUGGUGAGGUUGUGGGGGAAUAGGUGCAUUCAUGCUUUGCUGGUAGGACUGCAAAUUGAUGCAACACUCUGGAAAGCAGUGUGGAGAGUCCUCAGGAAACUUGGAAUGGAACCACCAUUGGACUCAGUCAUCCCACUCCUAAGUUUAUUCCGCAAAGACUUAAAAUCAGCAUACUACACUGAUGCAGCCGUAUCAAUGUUUAUAGCAGCUCAAUUCACAAUAGCUCAACUAUGGAACCAACCUGUGUGCCCUUCAACAGAUGAAGGGAUAAAAAAUGUGGUAUAUAUACACAAUGGAAUAUUACUCAACUUAAAAAAGAAUGAAAUUGUGGUAUUUGCUGGUAAAUGGAUGAAACUGGAGAAUAUUA